rnacentral:rRNA from 1 species
CCUACGGGCGGCUGCAGUAGGGAAUUUUCGGCAAUGGGGGGAACCCUGACCGAGCAACGCCGCGUGAACGAUGAAGGUCUUCGGAUCGUAAAGUUCUGUUGUAGCUAGGGAAAGCACGGGAGAGUGGAAAGCUCUCGUUUUGACCCAACUACCAGAAAGCCACGGCUAACUACGUGCCAGCAGCCGCGGUAAUACGUAGGUGGCAAGCGUUAUCCGGAAUUAUUGGGCGUAAAGAGUGAGCAGGCGGCCGUUUAAGUCUGAAGUCAAAUGCAGUGGCUUAACCACUGUCCGCUUUGGAAACUGGAUGGCUAGAGUACGAGAGAAGUAAGCGGAAUUCCAUGUGUAGCGGUGAAAUGCGUAGAUAUAUGGAGGAACACCAGAGGCGAAGGCGGCUUACUAGAUCGAUACUGACGCUCAGUCACGAAAGCGUGGGUAGCAAACAGGAUUAGAUACCCGAGUAGUC